rnacentral:rRNA from 1 species
AGUGAACGCUGGCGGUAGGCCUAACACAUGCAAGUCGAACGGCAGCACAGUAAGAGCUUGCUCUUACGGGUGGCGAGUGGCGGACGGGUGAGGAAUACAUCGGAAUCUACUUUUUCGUGGGGGAUAACGUAGGGAAACUUACGCUAAUACCGCAUACGACCUACGGGUGAAAGCAGGGGAUCUUCGGACCUUGCGCGAUUGAAUGAGCCGAUGUCGGAUUAGCUAGUUGGCGGGGUAAAGGCCCACCAAGGCGACGAUCCGUAGCUGGUCUGAGAGGAUGAUCAGACGACCGGGAGCGGGGGCAGGGGCGAGGAGGGGAGGGGGGGGGGAGGGGGGGAAUAGCGGGCAAGGGGCGAAAGCCGGAAGGCGCAAGGCGUGGUGGGGGAAGACGGCCUUGGGGUUGUAAAGCUAUUUUGUAGGGAAAGAAAAGCAGCGGGUUAGUCCCCCGCUGUUCUGGCGGUACCAAAAGAAUAAGCGGCGGCUAAGUUGGGGCGAGACGGGGGGGUAAUGUCGCAAGAGCAGACGCCGAAC